rnacentral:tRNA from 1 species
AAGGGUAUAGCUCAGUGGUAGAGUGCCUGCCUAGCAUGCACAAGGUCCUGGAUUCAAUUCCCAGUACCUCUG